GCUCCUGUGGCCUAGUGGUUAGAGCGUCCGCCUCUGAUGAGGGAGGUGGUGGGUUCGAUCCCCGGUGGAGUCA